UGUUCCUACGGGGGGCAGCAGUAGGGAAUCUUCCACAAUGGGCGAAAGCCUGAUGGAGCAACGCCGCGUGGGUGAAGAAGGUCUUCGGAUCGUAAAACCCUGUUGUUAGAGAAGAAAGUGCGUGAGAGUAACUGUUCACGUUUCGACGGUAUCUAACCAGAAAGCCACGGCUAACUACGUGCCAGCAGCCGCGGUAAUACGUAGGUGGCAAGCGUUAUCCGGAUUUAUUGGGCGUACAGGGAGCGCAGACGGCAGGGCAAGUCUGAUGUG
rnacentral:rRNA from 1 species